rnacentral:rRNA from 1 species
GACGAACGCUGGCGGCGUGCUUAACACAUGCAAGUCGAACGAUGAACCCGGAGCUUGCUCCGGCGGAUUAGUGGCGAACGGGUGAGUAACACGUGAGUAACCUGCCCUUGACUCUGGGAUAACUGCUAGAAAUGGUAGCUAAUACCGGAUACGACCCUAGGCGGCAUUGCCAGGGGGUGGAAGGAAUUUCGGUCAAGGAUGGACACGGGGCCUAUCGGCUAGUUGGUGAGGUAACGGCUCACCAAGGCGACGACGGGUAGCCGGCCUGAGAGGGUGACCGGCCACACUGGGACUGAGACACGGCCCAGACUCCUACGGGAGGCAGCAGUGGGGAAUAUUGCACAAUGGGCGCAAGCCUGAUGCAGCAACGCCGCGUGAGGGAUGACGGCCUUCGGGUUGUAAACCUCUUUUAGUAGGGAAGAAGCGAAAGUGACGGUACCUGCAGAAAAAGCACCGGCUAGCUACGUGCCAGCCGCCGCAGUAA